GACGAACGCUGGCGGCGUGCUUAACACAUGCAAGUCGAACGGAAACGCCUGCUUUCCCUUCUGGUUUCCGGUUACUCGCGUGGCGAACGGGCGAGUAACACGUGACUGAUCUGCCCCCAACUCGGGUAUAAGCCUGGGUAACUGGGUCUAAUUCCCGAUAGUACUGCAGGGUGGCGCCUGUGGUGGGAACUGAUGUUCUAGCGGUUGGGGAUGAGCUCGCGGCUUAUGAGGUUGUGGGUGAGGUAAUGGCCGACGAAGGCGGCGAGGGGGAGCGGGCCGGGGAGGGGGGACGGCGAGAUUGAGACAGGGAUACGGCCCAGACUCCAACGGGAGGCAGCGGAGGGGAAAAAGGCAGCAUGAGCGGAAGCCUGAAGCAGCGAGGGCGCGUGGGGGACGACGGCCUUCGGGUGGUAAACUGCUUUCGAAGGAAAGGAAGCCACCUGGUUGGAAGGGUGGUGACGGUAGUGGAAGAAGAAGCACCGGCUAACUACGUG
rnacentral:rRNA from 1 species